UACGUAGGGUGCGAGCGUUGUCCGGAAUUACUGGGCGUAAAGAGUUCGUAGGCGGUUAUUUAAGUCUGGUGUUAAAGACGGGAGCUCAACUCCCGCAUGGCAUUGGAAACUGGAUAGCUAGAGUACGGUAGAGGUCUCGGGAAUUCCAGGUGUAGCGGUGAAAUGCGUAGAUAUCAGGAGGAACACCGGUGGCGAAGGCGGGUCUCUGGGCCUUACCUGACGCUGAGGAGCGAAAGCGUGGGUAGCGAACAGG
rnacentral:rRNA from 1 species